GCCAGGAUGGUAUAGUGGUUUGAGCAUUGGAUUUUGAUUCUGGAGACCAGGGUUUGAAUCCCUGCUUGGCC